rnacentral:rRNA from 1 species
UUUGACUCAACACGGGAAACCUCACCCGGCCCGGACACCGCGAGGAUUGACAGAUUGAGAGCUCUUUCUCGAUUCGGUGGGUGGUGGUGCAUGGCCGUUCUUAGUUGGUGGAGCGAUUUGUCUGGUUAAUUCCGAUAACGAACGAGACUCUAGCCGGUUAAGUAGCCCGGAGCGGUUUUUGAUCUUUGCCGUCCGUCCUCCGUCCUACCUUUUUUUUCCCGUCCUCGGCCGACCGGCCACGGAGGGAAAAGGGAAAGGCGAGGAGGUGGUCAUCCGUGGUGGUUUUUCUGUUCCGUGCACGUUCGCCUUCACCGGCGGGCGUUGUGCGGGCGGUACCCUCGGGGAAACCGUCACUUCGUUUCCUCCCUAACCUUUCGCCCGCGAGGUCGAGACGGAAAGGGUGGUCGAGGCGGAAGCAUAACCGAAGGCCGCCGGCUUUUGCAGGAAGCUUCUUAGAGGGACGAGCGGCGUUCAGCCGCCCGAGAUUGA